rnacentral:lncRNA from 1 species
UUCACUACAAAACAUAAAAAAAAGUUUCUACAAUUAAUACCAACAUCCAGAUAAAUCUUAACAACGAUGCAAUGUAAUAAAACCACGAACAAUCAGACUUCUAAAACUUCUAUGACACUAGUUAUCUUGCUUUUCCUAACCGACCUCAAUGGUGCUUCAUCAUCACUUUGAGCUUUUGCUUCUUGUUUUCUCUUAUCAUAGUCCCCACAAUAGUGAAGCAUAUCUUGUACGAAGUACGUUGGGAUUGAACUCAGCCGUAGGAACGCCUAGACCAUAAGAAAAAAACUCUGCGUAAGUAACUAUAUACAGACCACAGUCCCUACAAAAAACCAUUGAAUAAUAGUUAAAAUAUAUUUUGUACAAACUUACAAAUUUAUUAUACGUAUAAUUAAAAUACUUAUGCAAUGCAAAUUUUGAAAGUUUUUUUGCAAUGAAUAUUUCAUCACACGACACCUAUACAAAGUUAAACUACACCUUAUUAAACUGUGAAAAACAACUAAACACAACCAACACAUCAAAAAAUACAUAUAACAAUGUAUAUACAUAUAUUGAACAGACCAAAAAUACAAAAUCAUCACUAAAGCAAAAUACAUAUGAAAUUUGAUAUGUAUGUAUAAAAAUACAAAUACUACCCUAUACCUUAAAAUAUAUAUCGAAUUAUAACGAAAAUACAAAUGAACGUUCUUAUGUAUCUGUAUGCACUUUAAAUUUCUAUAGCAUAAGUGCAAAAUGUAUUUGUAUUUUAAUAAAUACAAUUACAUCCAAAAACAUAAGUGUAUUUGUAUUUCAAUAAAUACAAAUAUGGCCAAAAUCAUAAAAAGUAAUUGUAUCAUCAAUCUAAAAUAGUAAAAAAAAUGUAUUUUUCAUGCAUACAACCUAGCAAAUUCAUAUAAUAUAUAAAAUACAAAUAAACAUAGCAGCUUCACAUAAAAUAUAAUUAAAUACAUAUUAACCAAAAAUGGCAAUUUAACCUAUCAUUUUCCCAAAAUCAACUUGCUGAAAUCAAUAAAUACAUAUCAGCAUAACAUGAAAUACAUAUUAACGGAAAUACAUGAAAAAAUACAUAUUACCCCCAAAUUUGAUAAAAGCUUUACUGAACUCCCUAAAUACAUAAUAAUAAAUAAAAAUACAUUUACAGCGAAAAAUACCUCUUCUUUUAUUUCUUCUUCAAAUUCACUAGCAGAAGAGUUCUCAAUAUCAUCAUCAACAUUGCUUUAUUCUGUAAUUCCAUUGACUUUUCUUUUCUUCUCGUAUUUUUUUAUUUUUUGUUCUUUUGGAGAAGAAAUUUUCUUCAACCGUUUUUUUUUUUCAAAAUAUCCGCCAUCUUCACCGAUCGUUAUGAAAUUUGGACCUAAAUUCCUUCGUAAUGGAGAAACUGAUGAAUUACCUUAAAAUUCAUUAGAGCAUAAAAAUCUUAAAAUCUUUGUUCAGCCAUUAGAGCAUAAAAUCGGAGAAACUGGAGAAAUGGUGAAACUUUGUUCAGCCAUUAGAGCCUAAAAACCUUAAAAUCAGAGUUGCUAAUGGGUUACAGUACAAAAAAAAAAUGAAGAACCUGAUAACAUACAAUAAAGAGAUUAAUUAGUUACCUGAAAUAGAGGAACACUAUCCUUAUCAAAUCUUGUUAAAAUCGUGCAAAAGAAAAAAAUUUAAAAGAAGGAAAUCUUUCAAUGGCGUGAAAAAAGGGUAAAGAAAAAAAAUUAAGGAAAGAGAAGGAGAAAAG